rnacentral:rRNA from 1 species
AGUGAACGCUGGCGGUAGGCCUAACACAUGCAAGUCGAACGGCAGCACAGUAAGAGCUUGCUCUUACGGGUGGCGAGUGGCGGACGGGUGAGGAAUACAUCGGAAUCUACUUUUUCGUGGGGGAUAACGUAGGGAAACUUACUCUAAUACCGCAUACGCCCUACGGGUGAAAGCAGGGGAUCUUCGGACCUUGUGCGAUUGAAUGAGCGGAUGAGGGAUUAGCUAGUUGGCGGGUUAAAGGCCCACCAAGGCGCCGAUCGGGGGCUGGUGUGAGAGAAGGGUCGGCCACACGGGAACUGAGACACGGACCAGGCUCCUACGAGAGGGAGCAGUGGCGAAUAUGAGACAAUGGGCGCAAGCAUGAUCCAGCGGGACGGCGUGGGUGGAGAAGGCGUUGGGGUUGUGAAGACGUUUUGUUGGGAAAGAAAAGCAGCAGGUUAAGACCCAGCUGUUCUGACGGUACUCAAAGAAUAAGCACCGGCUAACUUCGUG